CUCUUCAAGCUCGAUUUCGCUCGUGCCUUCGACUUUGUAUCCUGGGCUUACCUGCUCGAGCUGCUGCAUCGCAUGGGGUUCUCGCAGCGUUGGCGAAAAUGGAUGGCCCUGCUUCUCUCCACUGCUUCCUCCUCCUGUCUGCUAAACGGGGCGUCGGGCCCAAGUUUUUUGCACGCCUGCGGGCUCAGGCAAGGAUACCCACUCUCGCCGCUGCUCUUCAUCUGGCGAUCGGCCCUCUGUAUCGUCUUUUGGACACUGCCACUUCAACCGAGCUCCUGGCACCGCUACCGGGACGGGGAGCAAGCAUGCGGGUGA
rnacentral:rRNA from 1 species